rnacentral:lncRNA from 1 species
AAGAAAAAAUGUAGACACAGGUUUUGAUUUAGCUUACAGUAUGAGGCUACUGGGACAGAUAGACUACUGGUGUUACAAACAAAUGGCUAUGUGAGGAAAUUGGAAACUCCCCUGGUGUUUUGGCUGCAGCGCAGCAGAUCUCUUAGGACAGGUUAAAAGCAGCACUAUUAAUCUCAGUUACCUGAAACUGAACGGUCAUAUGGCUUCACCGCAGUCUGACUGCACACUUAUACAAACUUAUACACACGCUAUACAAACUACAAUUGUCUCUAUAUAUUUAUCCAUGCCUCAAAUUUUAGUUACCUAUCUCAGCAACAAGCCUAUAUAUGAUGCUCUAAAAUGCUCUCUAGGUAGACAGCUCACGGUUUUUGAGAGGCAAUCAGUGAAUCUUAUACUCACACAUCUCAGUAUAUACAGAGGUUGACAUUACCUGGUACCUAGGAAAAGUCAAAGUAAUGUGAUCAGAGGGCUGUCGACAAGAUGUAGAUUUUGUCUAACAGACGGCCAGGUCAGCAUGAAAACCACGUGUUUUACAGAUUAGAAACGGGCAUAGUUGAGUCGCUCUCUCGCCUGGCAGUUGCUGUAUCAUUGAUUUAAUGCUGAAUGAACGCUGACUCUUGAGCGAGGCUGCGAACCACGAGCAUGAUAUGAAAUCGCGGUGAUGUGUCUGGUGCUAGUAUUUGGAGGCAGCAUUUAAUUCCGUUUCCAGAGCAGACUAUUUUUAACAUUAACGUUUCUGCUGGAUGCGAUGUCCUAUCUGAACCCCCGGGGAAGAGAGCUCGAGCGUUUUGAUGGACUUUCGCUCAUUUACUGGACACUGAUGGGUCCGUAUGGAGCAGAUCGAGCAGUGCAUUCUAUGGAGUUUACAGACUGUGAGAAUGGAUUAGGAAUCAAAGUGUUCGGUGGUGUUAAAGAACUAUCAGCAGAAGAAUAUGGCGUUUAUGUGAAGAGGAUCUUACCUGGUGGCCUUGCUUCCAGUGAUGGAAACCUGCAGCCUGGAGACCAAAUCUUGGAGGUGAAUGGUGAAAGCUUGAUUGGCGUGACAAGUGAACGAGCGGUGGACAUUCUUAGAGCAGCAUCCUCAACCAAUCAUAUGCGCCUUCUCAUAGCCAGAGAUGAGGAAGCCAGGAGAGAAUUUGCAGAGCUCCUUGAAAAAUACGGCUCAAACGGCAGCACAGGAUCUACCAGGAAUUCACCUAUUCAGCAUAGUAGGUUUCUAUUUUUUAGUCAUUGUCAAGU